UACGGAGGGAGCUAGCGUUGUUCGGAUAUACUGGGCGUAAAGCGCACGUAGGCGGCGCCGCAAGUCAGGGGUGAAAUCCCGGAGCUCAACUCCGGAACUGCCCUUGAAACUGCAGUGCUAGAAUCCUGGAGAGGCGAGUGGAAUUCCGAGUGUAGAGGUGAAAUUCGUAGAUAUUCGGAAGAACACCAGUGGCGAAGGCGACUCGCUGGACAGGUAUUGACGCUGAGGUU
rnacentral:rRNA from 1 species